UGAAGAUAGAGUUUCGAGAUCAGGAACAAGAUGGCACAGUUGUACAUAGUGGAAGAAUUCGAAGAGAGGCGAAUUAAGGGAAGUGGUAAGAGCUUCCUGAUUGGAAUGGUAUGGGAAAGCGUGAAAAAGGGAGAUAGUACUGUGGAGGAAACUGUCGUGAAAAGUCAGGUAGUACCAUGCUACGUUAACGAUGUAAAUACCGAAAUGGCACGAAGACUCUUAGCGUUAAACGCACGAACAAGAAUAGUAAUGACGAACAUAACAAGGUUGCCCGGUAGUCUAAGAGCUACUAAAACUAGCAAGGUGCUUGCAAGGGUAAGUGAUUUUCCGGUAUGCAUGGAAACUGUAGAAUCUUUUAUUAAACCUGAGGUAGUGUCUGUCGCGGAGGCGAGAGGAUCGCCAGUAAAAAGAAGAAUGAGUGUUUGUGGAGAUGUUGUAGAGAUUGGAGAAUUUGUUGAUGGUCAUGCCUAUAAAAGGCGUUCUCUUCAAUUAGAAGACGGUGGUUCUGUGGGGAGAGAAUGCGAAAGUUAAUUUAUCAUCAGGAGAUAGUGUGACAAUUACUGCCGUAGUAAAAGACCAUGGGAGGGUGAUUUCGACACUGUCAAGUACUGUUGAAUGUUCUUCAACUUCAAAGACUUCUGAAAAGACAGGAGUGAUAAUUUCUGUAGAUGUUGAGAGUGGGUUUCCAAUAGAAGUGAUUAUGGAGACAGGAGAAUCAGUGCAUAUUCCAGAAGAUGUGGCGUUUGAUUAUGAAGUACAAUUGCCAGUUAAAGUAAAAUAUGUAAUGUCAUGUGGAAUGGUAGCAUCUAUUAGUACACUGUAAAAACUGCGUUUAGAUUAUAUAAAUCCAUAGCUUGUACUCACUUUUUCUACAUGUUUAGUUUGAUACAUGUUUAGCUUUGCCAGAUGUUUAGAUUUUAAAUGCAUAGUUUGUACCCACUUUUUCCACACAUUUAGCUUGAUACAUGUUUAGCUUUGCCAGAUGUUGAGAUUCUAAAUGCAUAGCUUGUACCCACUCUUUCUACACGUUUAGUUUGAUACAUGUUUAGCUUUGCCAGAUGUUUAGAUUCUAAAUGCAUAGCUUGUACCCACUUUUUCCACACAUUUAGCUUGAUGCAUGUUUGGCUUUUCCAAGUGUUUAGAUUUUAAACAUGUUGUCUAUACUAACUUUGUCCACACAUGUAAUCCAAUACGUGUUUAGCUUUUGGCAUGUGUUUAGUUUUCGAAGUUGCCAUAAGCUUGAAUCAUUGUCUGCGAUCAUACUGUUUGUGACAUUUUGAGCAGAAUAAAUUUGGAUUUGAAGAUA